rnacentral:sRNA from 1 species
UUAUAAUAUAAUAUUUGGAUCGCAAAAUUUUAUAUAAUAAUUAUAAGCGGUUUUUUUUUAAUUGCGGAAAUUAUAUUAUCGACCGUUUUCCAAAUCCCCAAAAUAAUUAUUUAUAUAAACGGCAAAAACCGUAUUAUCCAAAUACGCCAGUUUUUAAUAAAAGAUUUUACGUCCAGGGGAUUUAACCAAUAAAACGCCAUCGAUAUUAUUUUCCGGUACGAUUUUUUUAUAUUUAAAAUCGACAAAAUUAAAAUUUACGCCGAAUUUUCCAAACCGGAUUUUAAAAUUCGCAUUAUUUUUGCGAUUUUAUUUUUGGAAAUUAAUAUAAAUAUACCCGACGUUAUACGUAUUAUGCAAUACGGAAUAUUAAUAUCGAACGACCCCGCAAAUUUGUGGUAAAAAUUUGGCAAAACCAUACGCGGCCCUAAUUUUAAAAACACCGUUUAUUUUUUCGCCCCCUAUUAAUAUUUCGAUACGCAAAAUUCCUUAAAUAAAUAUAAAAUUAAAAAGUAAAAAUUUCUAAUUAAAAUAACCAACAGGGCCGCAAUAUUAAAAAAAAAAAUAAUAAUCCACAAAUUAUUUAUUUUAAUUUUUCGACGUAUUUAUAAACGCGAUUAUUCCUUAUAAACCUCCCAAAUAUAUUUAAAUUAAAUUUAAAUAAUAAUAACGGGGCAGCAACGCCGGAACCCAAACCAAUUGGACUUUUCGGUAUAUUCGAACCACAAAUUCCGCCCCAUUAAACGAUAUAGGAUAAAUUAAAUAAAAAUAAAUUAAUGGAACAAAUACCAAAUAUAUACGUUUUCGCCAACGUUUUUUAUUUUAAAUACGCCAUUUUUAAAUUUAUAUAAAAGAUUAACCUACCCGAUAUAAAUAAUUACCCCAAUCGUUAUUGCAAUAUUUGCUAUUAUAAUUUCGGUAUUUUAUCCAAUUUAUUUUUAAAAAACCCGCUAUAUAAAACGCCGAAAAAAUAUUCCAAAAGAAUUUGCGUGUUAAAAUAAUUAAAUAAAUGGGGUAUUUAUUUCGUAAUUAUUGUAUUUUGCCAAAAUUUAUAAAAAUUAUACGACUUUUUUUCCCAAAUAACGUUACCCUAACCCGAAAUUAUUACGUUCGCCAAAAGAUUUAUCCGCUUUUAUUAAUAAAAUUGGACGAAAUAAAAUUUGCUGGAAUAUUUCCCAAUUUUAUAAUUAUAUAAAUGGUUUAAAUAAUACGGCGAUUAUUUUUUCGACGUAUUUCCAAAGAUUUACAAAUAUGGGUUAAAUAAUUACAAAUUUUAUAUUUAAUAAUAACGGGCGAAAAGGCGUGGGGACGCUAAUAUAAUAAAAUUUUCGCAACCGGGUAAUUAAUUAAAUAAUUAGCACCCAAAACGGCGGAAUAAACGGUAACGAACCAAACGAUAAAUAUUAUAAAUAUAAACGCGCACGUAAAUAAUACGAAAUCGAAAAUUGAAUUGUUAAACCAAACGUAAUUUUGGAAAAAAAUGGGCGUAUUAAUCCCGGCCGUUUUUUAUUUUUUUUAUAUAUACCGGGUUAUUAAAAUAUAUACGCGUAAUACGGCGCGUCGCCAAAAAUAUUUCCACUAGCCUUUUAUAAUAUUAAUAUUAUAAUUAUACGUAAAAAAGUAAAUAUAUAAUUAUUAUUUUGCCCCAAUAAAAUAAUUUAUAAUAACGUAAUAAAAAGAUUGUUUAUAAUAAAUUUAUUUUCCGUAAUACGCCUUUUUAUCCAGUUAAUUUAAAUAUAUUAGCGGGCCAUUUUAUUUAUUAUAUAAUAUUCGAAUAUUAUAAUUAAUAAUUACAAAUUUGGAACGCGGGUUUAAUUUAACACCGUUGGUUGGAAAUAAUAAUUUUGUCGUAUUUAUUAUAAUAAAUACAAAAAACAGCAGCGCGGUCGGGAUAUUUACCACGCGAAUAAAUAUUACUAAAACGCGCUAUUAUUUUUUUGCAAAAUAAAUUCGUACAAAAAAACCCUACGGUGGAUAAUAUAUAAUAUUUAAUAUCGCAAUAUAAAAUAUAUUUCGGGAAAUAAUAUACCCAAUGAUUACGGAAACGCCCGAAAAAUUACCCGAUUAUUGGGUUAAUGGACGUCGCGAACGAAUAAAAAAACGAUAAAAUAUAAAUGGGAAAAGGUCCGACCAUAUUGCGGAUAAUAAUUUUAUAAUUAUUUUGCCCUUUACCGUAUUUUGCAAAUAAUUGGAGCAACGGUUAAAAAUAGCGUCGCCGUCGGAUUAUUUAUUUUACCCGUUAUAAAAACGCUGGUUAAUAAAUAAUUUAAUAACUACAAAUUACACCCCAAAAUAAUAUUUUUAUUUGUUUUAAAAUAUUUUGGCGGUUGCGGUUAAUUAUAAUAAUCCCUAAAAUUGAAAAAUUAAAUUUAAACGAUUUACCCCAUUUUAAUAUUUAAAAUAAACCCAAAUAUAUCGCAAAAUAAACCGAAUUUUAUAUAUAUAUUUUAUUAACUAUAUAAUUCUUCGACCAAUUAAAUUUACCAAAAUAACCGCAAUUGUCGCAAAUUUUAUAUACGGAAAAUAAUUAGGGUUUAAAAUUAUAAAUUAAACCACGUUUAACUAGGAAUUCCGCUUUAUAAUUAUAAUAAUAAACCUUAAAAUAACCAAAACGUUUUAUUAUUAUAUAUUGUAAUAGUUAUUACGCCCACAAUUUAUUUAACCCAUUACCCCACCAACCCUAUUAUUUAAACUGCAAAUUGCCCCAUAUUAUAACCCAAUUAUAAAUAUUUCCUUUUUAUCCCUCGACGGUUUUUUUUUUACAAUUACCAAUUUAUUAUUAAUUUCCAUUUCGAUAUUAUAAUUUUUGCGGUUAAAUUGUAACGAUUAAACGAACGUUUAAUUUAAUUACAAAUUAUAAUAAUUAUUAUAAUCCGAAAAAUUAUUUUACAAAUUUUCAAUUUUAUUUUUUAAAUAUUACAUUAAAAUUUAUUUAAUUGGAUUAUCCGAUUCGCGGAAAAAAUAGGUUUUUGUUAAUAUAUGCGCAAUAUAAUUAUAUCCCCAAUUCGGUUAACUACGGGCAAUUAACCUAACCCAAUUAUAAUAAUAAUUACAAUUUUU